CCUACGGGUGGCAGCAGUGGGGAAUUUUGGACAAUGGGGGCAACCCUGAUCCAGCAACGCCGCGUGAAUGAAGAAGGCCUUAGGGUUGUAAAGUUCUUGGGAAUUGUAAGGAGUACCAAAAGAAUAAGCACCGGCUAACUACGUGCCAGCAGCCGCGGUAAUACGUAGGGUGCGAGCGUUAAUCGGAAUUAUUGGGCGUAAAGGGUGCGUAGGCGGAUAUAUAAGUUAGCUGUGAAAAGCCAGGGCUUAACCUUGGUCGUGCAUUUAAGACUGUAUGUCUAGAGUUUGUAAGAGGGGGGUAGAAUUCCAAGUGUAGCAGUGAAAUGCGUAGAGAUUUGGAGGAAUACCGAUGGCGAAGGCAGCCCCCUGGUAUAGACUGACGCUGAGGCACGAAAGCGUGGGUAGCAAACAGGAUUAGAUACCCUUGUAGUC
rnacentral:rRNA from 1 species